rnacentral:rRNA from 1 species
AAUAUUGCACAAUGGGCGAAAGCCUGAUGCAGCAACGCCGCGUGAGUGAUGAAGGCCUUCGGGUCGCAAAGAUCUUUGAUCAUGGAAGAUAAUGACAGUACCUGAAAAACAAGCCACGGCUCACCACGAUCCAGCAGCCGCGGUAAUACGUAGGUGGCGAGCGUUGUCCUGAAUUACUGGGCGUAAACUAUGCGUAGGUGGAUACUUAAGUGGGAUGUGAAAUCCCCGGGCUCAACCCGGGAACUGCAUUCCAAACUGGGUAUCUAGAGUGCAGGAGAGGAAAGCGGAAUUCCUAGUGUAGCGGUGAAAUGCGUAGAUAUUAGGAGGAACACCAGUGGCGAAGGCGGCUUUCUGGACUGUAACUGACACUGAGGCAUGAAAGCGUGGGUAGCAAACAGG